rnacentral:rRNA from 1 species
UACGUAGGGGGCAAGCGUUGUCCGGAAUUAUUGGGCGUAAAGAGCUCGUAGGCGGUUUGGUAAGUCUGGUGUGAAAUCUCCACGCUCAACGUGGAGGGGCCACCCGAUACUGCCAUGACUGGAGUCCGGUAGAGGAGUGUGGAAUUCCCGGUGUAGCGGUGAAAUGCGCAGAUAUCGGGAGGAACACCCGUAGCGAAGGCGGCACUCUGGGCCGGUACUGACGCUGAGGAGCGAAAGCGUGGGGAGCAAACAGG